UCCCAGUUCGGAUUGUAGUCUGCAACCCGACUACAUGAAGCUGGAAUCGCUAGUAAUCGCGGAUCAGAAUGCCGCGGUGAAUACGUUCCCGGGUCUUGUACACACCGCCCGUCACACCAUGGGAGUCGGAAAUGCCCGAAGUCGGUGACCGAACCGAAAGGAAGGAGCCGCCGAAGGCAGGUCUGGUGACUGGGGUGAAGUCGUAACAAGGUACC
rnacentral:rRNA from 1 species